GAUGAACGCUGGCGGCGUGCCUAACACAUGCAAGUCGAGCGAUCUUCUUCGGAAGAGAGCGGCGGACGGGUGAGUAACGCGUGGGUAACCUGCCCUGUACACACGGAUAACAUACCGAAAGGUAUGCUAAUACGAGAUAAUAUGCUUUUAUCGCAUGGUAGAAGUAUCAAAGCUCCGGCGGUACAGGAUGGACCCGCGUCUGAUUAGCUAGUUGGUGAGGUAACGGCUCACCAAGGCGACGAUCAGUAGCCGACCUGAGAGGGUGAUCGGCCACAUUGGAACUGAGACACGGUCCAAACUCCUACGGGAGGCAGCAGUGGGGAAUAUUGCACAAUGGGCGAAAGCCUGAUGCAGCAACGCCGCGUGAGCGAUGAAGGCCUCGGUCGUAA
rnacentral:rRNA from 1 species